rnacentral:rRNA from 1 species
ACUUGGAGGAUGUAUAGCAAUAGCUACUUGCAUCAUUGUACAGAUGAUGCAAGAUCGACUAUGUCGAAUAAAAUUCUAGGUAGAAUUAUGAUAAUGACAUUGUCUGCCUAUGUGUCUUGACCAAAUUACGUGCCAGCAGUCGCGGUAAUACGUAGAAGACUAGUGUUAUUCAUGUUUAAUCGGUUUAAAGGGUACCUAGAAGGUAAAUCAAGCUUUUAGAUAGAAAAUAUGUAUAAGAUCUGAUAGAAAUAAAAAUCUUACAAUUAAAGGACUAAUUUACUAGAGUUACUUACGAGGGGGUAUUAAAGUACUGCUGGUGUAGAGAUGAAAUUCUGUCAUACCUCUUUUCGAAAGAAAAAUCAUGGCACAGGUAUAGGCGAAGGCAUCCCCUUAUGUGAUAACUGACGUUGAGGCCGAAGGCUUCGUGUAACAAACAGGAUUAGAUACCCUAGUAGUUGAAGCAGAAAAUGAUGAAUGUCAUAGAUUAGAUAUAUAAGUUUAUUCUAUAAAUGAAAGUGUAAGCAUUCCACCUCAUGAGUAAUUUGGCAACAUUGGAACUGAAAUCAUUAGACCGUUUCUGAAACCAGUAGUGAAGUAUGUUGUUUAAUUUGAUGAUCCGCAAAAAACCUUACCACAAUUUGAAUAUUUAUAUUUUUUAUUAUUGUUUUCUUCUUAAUUUUCUUCUAAUAACAUAUUCAACAUGUAAAAAGAAGAAAGUUAAUAAAGAGGCAAUAAUAUAUAUUUACAAGCGUUGCACGGCUGUCUUCAGUUAAUGUCGCGAGACUUUGGUUAGUUCCAUUAAAUUAACGUAAACCCUUACUUUAUUUUUAGAUAGAGUAGUUCCCCGCUAUAUUGGAUCUGAUAACAGGGACUAAGACAAGUCAUCAUGGCCUAAAUAUUGU